UCCAGUAAGAACUGAAGUUAUGUGCAUUUUCACAUGCGCAACAGAAAAAGUGUGACGGCCUGUGGCGGCAAAGCUUACGUCGUCUGCUAUGAUAUAACAGGAAUAGACAAACCUAAACGACUAAACCUAUCACCUAUGAUGUAUCCAUCAUGGAUGUAUCAUCUGCUAAUUGGCACAGUGUGCUUCCAGCACUUACUUCGUUGUCUACGUCAAAGCAUCAAAGCUCAAGGGUUUUAGCGAGAGGCGCGGCGCAUUCUGUACUUCCGGUCGUCUCCCGUGUUUGUGUUGUCAGUGGUCUGUUUACAUCGCGCUGUUUUCUGUCUGGAUUUGGACACGAUACCUUUUAGGAGGCCUUGUCAUCGCUGAGAAUCUCUCUCAGAAUGGGAGCAUGCUCUGCUGUUGGGUGUACGCUCCGAAGUGGUACAAAUAAACUUUCAAAAGUCAAGUUCUACCGCUUCCCCGCUGAUCCUUCACAACGUGAGGCAUGGAAAAAUGCUUUGAAGCGCAGGGACUGGGAGCCGACAGCCUCAAGUCGCGUGUGCAGCCAGCAUUUCGUAACAAAACAACCAUCACGGGAUCCUGCACACCCUGACUGGGCACCAUCCGUGUUUGUAUACACCAAGCUGCAGAAGGUGCACCCGCUGAAGAGGUACAACCACGCGGCGAUCAGAGCCGCACUCAAGAACGACGGCUUGCUGACACCUACAUCCGAGCAGACUACCGCAACUACACAAGCCAGCUCAGAAGCACCAGCAAGUUCUCCAAAGGAUGUGUCUGAACCUGAGCCACCGUUUCAGAUGGAGUGUGUACCCAGUGCAGGAACCAGGAACGUAUUUGUUCAGACCGAACUCACUGGCGAUAAUAUUGACGAGCUCCAGCAGAAGGUUCAAAAGUUGAGAGAUGAGUGUGGAGCCUUAAGGCAGGGGCUACUUGGACAACGUGUUAUCUGCCACACUGUUUCGGGUGAUAAGCACAAUGCACGUACAGUGCCCAGAGAUCACAGAGUCUUUGGCCACAAUCCACGUGCGAUACGUAGUGUCCUCCUCCUGCCAGGCAACAACGUCACGUCAUGCUAGCCACAGGCUGUAUACAAUUUGUCUGGCUGAUACGUAGUGACGUUUCUUUGUAAGGUUCCAGCUUCUCGGGCGUAAACUUGCCCGGCGCGUUGACAACACUGUCGUGGAGUUCCGGCCGGGACACUGAGGCGUAUGAGAAGUUGGUGUCACUGAACAGAUGCAAGUUUCGUGUGUCGUACGGAUCUGGGAGUCAACGGCACCAUGUGGUUUCAGCUUCACCGGAUAUCGCUGCUGUAAAGUACGCGCUCGACAUCGCGGUGCACUGAAAUCGACGAUAAAAGCGUGCGACUGGAA